CAAUCUAUAAAUAGUGGAACAAAAGGACCAACUUCCUCGCAGCUUUGCUGAAACUGCACAAAAAAAGGCAACCCGGGGGGGGGGGGGGGGGGGGGAGACGACGGACGACGACGACACGGUUAUUUUUUUGAUUUUAUUUUUCUCCGUUUAAAAGGCGAAUCCUCCCUCCUCCCACACACACACACGCUACUGGAAGAUUAUUUAUAUUUUUUUUCCUCGCUGUCUCCUAUGCUGGCAACGUCCUGCGAGUGGUUAUUUUGCUUUUGCACCGACAGAAGGGCUUCCCCCCCCUCCCCUUCUGACAGCAGAGGAUCCUGACUCUGAGAUAUUUAGAUGGAGACAAAGCAUCCCCUGAGCAUCACAGAGAUUUUGAAUGUGAGCAAACCCCUAUUUCUGAAUAGACCUGUCUGUCACCCAGACCCUUGGUAUAUUCAGCUUAUGGAUGAAAUCCACACACUGACUCCUAACCUCUAAUGAAAGCCAAUCUGUGUUCCUGCUGUGGCUUUUUGGCUUCACUAGUCACUGAGGAAACAAACUGAUGAUCCUCUCUCUCCCAGAUGCUACAGCCAGAGAAUGCAAUACCCACCUCGUAUUACAUGGAUUUUUAGACUACAGCAAUUGCCUUUCUUGCUUGUUCUGAUAAUCAGUUAAAUAUUUACCCAUUCUGAUCCUUAAA